rnacentral:rRNA from 1 species
AACGAACGCUGGCGGCGUGCCUAACACAUGCAAGUCGUGCGAGAAAGUUCCUUCGGGAGCGAGUAAAGCGGCGCACGGGUGAGUAACACGUAGGUAACCUGCCCCCCAGUCUGGAACAACUAGAGGAAACUCUAGCUAAUGCCGGAUGAGACCACGAUCCCUUCGGGGGUUGCGGCCAAAGAUGGCCUCUACUUGUAAGCUAUCGCUGAGGGAUGGGCCUGCGGGCCAUUAGCUUGUUGGUGAGGUAACGGCUCACCAAGGCUGUGAUGGCUAGCUGGUCUGAGAGGAUGACCAGCCACACUGGGACUGAGACACGGCCCAGACUCCUACGGGAGGCAGCAGUGGGGAAUAUUGCGCAAUGGGCGAAAGCCUGACGCAGCGACGCCGCGUGGGUGAU